GCAAUCGUCAUCAGCCAGCUUAAAAGCCCAGCGGAAGCACCACCACGUCGCCUGAACAACUUUUCUGUUUUCCACGACCUGAUACUUCUUCUCGGAUACUUAUACCAACCCAUUGACCUGUCAAAACAUCUAUCCUCUGCUGACAGCUACACACGCGGCGUCCACAGUGAUCACCACAACCACUCCGCCUCCCGCCUCGCUCGAAACGCAAGACCAAAAUAAACGUCACUCAAGACUAUCAGUGUGCCCUUUACCGCCUGACUUAAUGGAGACAGCAGUGCUUACGCUUGCAACAGCACACACAAAUCACCCUCUUUUGAAUGAACUGGCUUAUAAUACCAAAAUUACCAACAAAACACCUCUGCACAGAUCCAUAUGACCAGCCAAGGUGGAUAUACGCCAGUGACAAAAAUAGAACCCUUCGUCUCUAUCGGUUCGUCACGUCACCAGACUGAUUUUUUGGGGUCAUUUCUCUUUGCAAAAUAGCAGAAGCUCCAGAUUACAUUUGCGGAUGACGCAAGAAACAACGUGAUCUGCUUCUCACAAUUGAAAGCCAUUUUUAGAACAUGAUUUAACAAACAACCAAGCAUUUUAGUGGUUCUAUGAUAUUUAUGCUGGAAUGUAAUGUGACAAAACAUCCCUCACAGUUUUAAAAUAGCUCUUUUAUGCUUCUACUAUGUCAUCAAUCUGAUAAAUGAUUGUUUGAU